rfam:Asian citrus Psyllid, Diaphorina citri - Florida Strain, whole genome shotgun sequence.
GCCUAGUUAGCUUGGUUCAUAGAGCGUCUGCCUUGUUAUUGCUAGGCCGCGGGUUCGAUUCCCGCCCUAGGUG